rnacentral:rRNA from 1 species
AAAUGAAUAGACGGGGGCCCGCACAAGCAGUGGAGUAUGUGGUUUAAUUCGAAGCAACGCGAAGAACCUUACCGGGGCUUGACAUCCCAAUGACCGGCGUAGAGAUACGCCUUCCCUUCGGGGCAUUGGUGACAGGUGGUGCAUGGUUGUCGUCAGCUCGUGUCGUGAGAUGUUGGGUUAAGUCCCGCAACGAGCGCAACCCUUAUCAUUAGUUGCUACAUUAAGUUGAGCACUCUAACGAGACUGCCCUUGUAAGAGGGAGGAAGGUGGGGAUGACGUCAAAUCAUCAUGCCCUUUAUGUCCCGGGCUACACACGUACUACAAUGGCAUUCAACAAUGAGUUGCGAACCCGCGAGGGGGAGCUAAUCUCCAAAAAGUGCCUCAGUUCAGAUUGCAGGCUGCAACUCGCCUGCAUGAAGUCGGAAUUGCUAGUAAUCGUGAAUCAGCAUGUCACGGUGAAUACGUUCCCGGGCCUUGUACACACCGCCCGU